rnacentral:rRNA from 1 species
AUUGAACGCUGGCGGCAGGCCUAACACAUGCAAGUCGAACGAGUGGCGGACGGGUGAGUAAUGUCUGGGAAACUGCCUGAUGGAGGGGGAUAACUACUGGAAACGGUAGCUAAUACCGCAUACUAUCAGAUGGGCCCAGAUGGGAUUAGCUUGGUGGUGGGGUAAAGGCUCACCAAGGCGACGAUCCCUAGCUGGUCUGAGAGGUUGAACAGCCACACUGGAACUGAGACAUGGUACAGACUCCUAAGGGAGGCAGCAGUGGGGAAUAUUGCCCAAUGGGCGCAAGCCUGAUGCAGCCAUGCAGCGUGUAUGAAGAAGGCCUUCGGGUUGUAAAGUACUGUCAGCGGGGAGGCGUUACCCGCAGAAGAAGCACCGGCGAACUCCGUGCCAGCAGCCGCGGUAAUAC